AACGGAGGCCGGGAAGGGCCUCAUCGGAGGCAAAAAUUGAGGAGGGGCGCGGCAGCACCGCUGGAUUUCGGCCGUGUUUUUCGGCCGUUUGGCCGGGAUUUUGGCUCCGAUUUGGCCACAGGGGAACUCAGCGUGGAAAAACAAGUUGGGGGUAUGAAAUUUACCUCGAUCGGCGGUCGAAAAACUCCCCGGUGCGGCGGCAGGUGGCGGUGGCCGGCUCCUCCGGCGUCUAGUUCGUCUUUUCCGGCGAGGGCAGGCGGCUAGGGUUUUUGUGGUCAGGUGUGGGGGUUCUGUUUAUACCCUUUUGCUUUUUGAUCACAGCCGUCCAUUUUGAUUAAAUUUGGGCCGUCCGUUUUUGAUUGAAUCUGGGCUGUC
rnacentral:lncRNA from 1 species